rnacentral:lncRNA from 1 species
GGUUUCUCUGGUUUAUUCAGUGAUAUCAUCAUUUGCAUAGGCACCUAAGCAACUCACUGUGCCCCUACAUGCCAGGUUGUCUUGGAAGUUCUUUCCCAUAAAGGGAUGAAGCUUAGUUGGCAAAGUGAAAGUUGAUAUAAAUCUAUCUGGUAUCACUUAGAGGCAUGUUUCAAGACGUCUAUGAUGACCUGUCUUUAAUUUAGGUUUCAUUUCAACUGCAGCACCUAGAAUGUGUGACAUCAAGUCAGCAAGUGUCUUGUAUUUUUCUUCCGGGGCAAACAUUUGAGUAUGAAGGAGGCCGCUGACACUAAGGACACGCAUCGGGCUGAAUGGGGAGGAGAACCAAGAUGGAGGGUAUGGAGAUACUUGACAAGGGUGGAACUGCCUGUCAUAAGUUCUUGGCUUCCAAAUCCAAGGAUUGGUAUCAUCACCAACAUGAACUGUUUCAGAAAGUGUUUCUUGCCUGGACCAUGA